rnacentral:rRNA from 1 species
CUAGUAAUCGCGGAUCAGCACGCCGCGGUGAAUACGUUCCCGGGCCUUGUACACACCGCCCGUCACACCAUGGGAGCCGGUAAUACCCGAAGUCAGUAGCCUAACCGCAAGGGGGGGCGCUGCCGAAGGUAGGAUUGGCGACUGGGGUGAAGUCGUAACAAGGUAGC